GGGACGAACGCUGGCGGCGUGCUUAACACAUGCAAGUCGAGCGGUAAGGCUCCUUCGGGAGUACACGAGCGGCGAACGGGUGAGUAACACGUGAGCAAUCUGCCCUUCUCUUCGGAAUAACCAUUGGAAACGAUGGCUAAUGCCGAAUACGACCUCCUUUCGCAUGAUCGGAGGUGGAAAGCUCCGGCGGAGAAGGAUGAGCUCGCGGCCUAUCAGCUAGUUGCGGGGUAACGGCCCACCAAGGCGACGACGGGUAGCCGGCCUGAGAGGGUGACCGGCCACACUGGGACUGAGACACGGCCCAGACUCCUACGGGAGGCAGCAGUGGGGAAUAUGGACAAUGGGCGAAAGCCUGAUCCAGCAACGCGCGUGAGGGAUGACGGCCUUCGGGUUGUAAACCUCUUUCAGUCGAGGACGAAGCGAAAGUGACGGUACUGCAGAAGAAGACCGACCAACUACGUGCCAGCACGCCGAC
rnacentral:rRNA from 1 species